rnacentral:rRNA from 1 species
AGGGAACGGCGGUGUGCUAUACAUGCAAGUCGUACGCACUGGCCCAACUGAUUGAUGGUGCUUGCACCUGAUUGACGAUGGAUCACCAGUGAGUGGCGGACGGGUGAGUAACACGUAGGUAACCUGCCCCGGAGCGGGGGAUAACAUUUGGAAACAGAUGCUAAUACCGCAUAACAACAAAAGCCGCAUGGCUUUUGUUUGAAAGAUGGCUUUGGCUAUCACUCUGGGAUGGACCUGCGGUGCAUUAGCUAGUUGGUAAGGUAACGGCUUACCAAGGCGAUGAUGCAUAGCCGAGUUGAGAGACUGAUCGGCCACAAUGGAACUGAGACACGGUCCAUACUCCUACGGGAGGCAGCAGUAGGGAAUCUUCCACAAUGGGCGCAAGCCUGAUGGAGCAACACCGCGUGAGUGAAGAAGGGUUUCGGCUCGUAAAGCUCUGUUGUUGGAGAAGAACGUGCGUGAGAGUAACUGUUCACGCAGUGACGGUAUCCAACCAGAAAGUCACGGCUAACUACGUGCCAGCAGCCGCGGUAAUACGUAGGUGGCAAGCGUUAUCCGGAUUUAUUGGGCGUAAAGCGAGCGCAGGCGGUUGCUUAGGUCUGAUGUGAAAGCCUUCGGCUUAACCGAAGAAGUGCAUCGGAAACCGGGCGACUUGAGUGCAGAAGAGGACAGUGGAACUCCAUGUGUAGCGGUGGAAUGCGUAGAUAUAUGGAAGAACACCAGUGGCGAAGGCGGCUGUCUGGUCUGCAACUGACGCUGAGGCUCGAAAGCAUGGGUAGCGAACAGGAUUAGAUACCCUGGUAGUCCAUGCCGUAAACGAUGAGUGCUAGGUGUUGGAGGGUUUCCGCCCUUCAGUGCCGGAGCUAACGCAUUAAGCACUCCGCCUGGGGAGUACGACCGCAAGGUUGAAACUCAAAGGAAUUGACGGGGGCCCGCACAAGCGGUGGAGCAUGUGGUUUAAUUCGAAGCUACGCGAAGAACCUUACCAGGUCUUGACAUCUUGCGCUAACCUUAGAGAUAAGGCGUUCCCUUCGGGGACGCAAUGACAGGUGGUGCAUGGUCGUCGUCAGCUCGUGUCGUGAGAUGUUGGGUUAAGUCCCGCAACGAGCGCAACCCUUGUUACUAGUUGCCAGCAUUGAGUUGGGCACUCUAGUGAGACUGCCGGUGACAAACCGGAGGAAGGUGGGGACGACGUCAGAUCAUCAUGCCCCUUAUGACCUGGGCUACACACGUGCUACAAUGGACGGUACAACGAGUCGCAAACUCGCGAGAGUAAGCUAAUCUCUUAAAGCCGUUCUCAGUUCGGACUGUAGGCUGCAACUCGCCUACACGAAGUCGGAAUCGCUAGUAAUCGCGGAUCAGCAUGCCGCGGUGAAUACGUUCCCGGGCCUUGUACACACCGCCCGUCACACCAUGGGAGUUUGUAACGCCCAAAGUCGGUGGCCUAACCUUUAUGGAGGGAGCCGCUAAGCGGACAAAAGUUCG